rnacentral:hammerhead_ribozyme from 1 species
AUCUAGCUGACGAGUUCCAAACAGAACGAAACGUGCGUCCUGAAU